rnacentral:rRNA from 1 species
AUUGAACGCUGGCGGCAGGCUUAACACAUGCAAGUCGAGCGGGGGAAGGUAGCUUGCUACCGGACCUAGCGGCGGACGGGUGAGUAAUGCUUAGGAAUCUGCCUAUUAGUGGGGGACAACAUCUCGAAAGGGAUGCUAAUACCGCAUACGUCCUACGGGAGAAAGCAGGGGAUCUUCGGACCUUGCGCUAAUAGAUGAGCCUAAGUCGGAUUAGCUAGUUAGUGGGGUAAAGGCCUACCAAGGCGACGAUCUGUAGCGGGUCUGAGAGGAUGAUCCGCCACACUGGGACUGAGACACGGCCCAGACUCCUACGGGAGGCAGCAGUGGGGAAUAUUGGACAAUGGGGGGAACCCUGAUCCAGCCAUGCCGCGUGUGUGAAGAAGGCCUUAUGGUUGUAAAGCACUUUAAGCGAGGAGGAGGCUACUUUAGUUAAUACCUAGAGAUAGUGGACGUUACUCGCAGAAUAAGCACCGGCUAACUCUGUGCCAGCAGCCGCGGUAAUACAGAGGGUGCGAGCGUUAAUCGGAUUUACUGGGCGUAAAGCGUGCGUAGGCGGCUUAUUAAGUCGGAUGUGAAAUCCCCGAGCUUAACUUGGGAAUUGCAUUCGAUACUGGUGAGCUAGAGUAUGGGAGAGGAUGGUAGAAUUCCAGGUGUAGCGGUGAAAUGCGU